UAGGGAAUAUUGCACAAUGGGCGAAAGCCUGAUGCAGCAACGCCGCGUGAGUGAUGAAGGCCUUCGGGUCGUAAAACUCUUUUCGGGGAGAUGAGGAAGGACAGUAUCCCCGGAAUAAGAUUCGGCUAACUACGUGCCAGCAGCCGCGGUAACACGUAGGAAUCGAGCGUUAUCCGAAUUUACUGGGCGUAAAGCGCGUGCAGGCGGUUUGAUAAGUUGGAUGUGAAAGCUCCUGGCUCAACUGGGAGAG
rnacentral:rRNA from 1 species